rnacentral:rRNA from 1 species
AGGACAAACGCUGGCGGCGUGCCUAAAACAUGCAAGUCGUACGGUCCUUCGGGACAGUGGCGGACGGCUGAGUAACACGUAGGUAACCUACCCAGGAGUGGGGAAUAACUCUCCGAAAGGAGAGCUAAUACCGCAUACGACCGCAUAUCCCCGGGUGUGCGAGGAAAGCCGAAAGGCGCUCUUGGAGGGGCCUGCGUCCGAUUAGCUAGUUGGUGGGGUAAAAGCCUACCAAGGCGACGAUCGGUAGCUGGUCUGAGAGGAUGAUCAGCCAGACUGGGACUGUGACACGGCCCAGACUCCUACGGGAGGCAGCAGUUAGGAAUCUUGGGCAAUGGGCGAAAGCCUGACCCAGCAACGCCGCGUGGGUGACGAAGGCCUUCGGGUCGUAAAGCCCUUUUGCACGGGAGAUAAUGACGGUACCGUGCGAAUAAGCCCGGCUAACUACGCGCCAGCAGCCGC